rnacentral:rRNA from 1 species
GCUAGAAGAAGUCAUGGCGGACGGGUGAGUAACGUGUAAAGAACUUACCAUAUAGACUGGGAUAACAGAGGGAAACUUCUGAUAAUACUGGAUAAGUUAGUAGUAGCAUUACUAAGUAAUGAAAGGUAGCAAUACGCUAUAUGAGAGCUUUGCAUCCUAUUAGCUAGUUGGUGGGGUAAAAGCCUACCAAGGCGAUGAUAGGUAGCCGGCCUGAGAGGGUGGACGGCCACAAGGGGACUGAGAUACGGCCCUUACUCCUACGGGAGGCAGCAGUGGGGAAUAUUGGACAAUGGAGGCAACUCUGAUCCAGCAAUUCUGUGUGUGUGAAGAAGGUUUUAGGACUGUAAAACACUUUUAGUAGGGAAGAAAGAAAUGACGGUACCUACAGAAGAAGCGACGGCUAAAUACGUGCCAGCAGCCGCGGUAAUACGUAUGUCGCGAGCGUUAUCCGGAAUUAUUGGGCUUAAAGGGCAUCUAGGCGGUUAAACAAGUUGAAGGUGAAAACCUGUGGCUCAACCAUAGGCUUGCCUACAAAACUGUAUAACUAGAGUACUGGAAAGGUGGGUGGAACUACACGAGUAGAGGUGAAAUUCGUAGAUAUGUGUAGGAAUGCCGAUGAUGAAGAUAACUCACUGGACAGCAACUGACGCUGAAGUGCGAAAGCUAGGGGAGCAAACAGGAUUAGAUACCCUGGUAGUCCUAGCUGUAAA